CCUAAUAAUGUGCUGGCGGGUAGUGGAUUAGGCAGGUUAGGGCGUGGGUGAAUAUUGGAGAUGGUGAGAAUGGUGGUGAUGGGCGUGGUGGUAUGUGUGUGUGGGGGUGGACGUGUUGUUAGGGCAGGUUAGGUUGUUACGUGAGCUUCUUGUUAGGACAGGUUAGGGCGUGGGUGAAUUCUGGUUUCGGAGAGGGUAUAAGAAUGGUGGUGAUGGUAGUGGGCGUGGUGGUAUGUGUGUGGGUGUUUUUGGUAACGGUUAGGUGUGGGUGGACGUGUUGUUAGGGCAGGUUAGGUUAUGUGUGCAUGUGAGCUUCUUGUUAGGACAGGUUUUGGUGGUAAUGGUAGUGGGCGUGGUGGUAUGUGUGUGUGUGUGUGUGGGGGUUUGGUAACGAUUAGAUGUGGGUGGAGGUGUUGUUAGGGCAGGUUAGGUUGUUAUGCGAGCUUCUUGUUGGGACAGGUUUUGGUGGUGAUGUAGUGGGCGUGUGUGUGUGUGUGUGUGUGUGUGUGUGUUUGUGUUUUGGUAACGUUUAGGUGUAGGUGGCCGUGUUGUUAUGGCAGGUUAGAUUGUUAUGUGAGCUUCUUGUUAGGACAGGUUAGCCUACGUUAGUUAGAUUAGGUAAGGUAAGGGUCAAAAUAGGUAAGGUAAAAGUCAAGGUUAGGUUAAAGCCAGUAGCUGCGGGGAUCAUGUUUCUAAAAGGUCCCUCUAAUCGAAAAAAAUGAGAAAAAAUCAUCACUCACGCAAACCAUAAUAUAUAUCAACGCAUUUGUGUACAGCUUAUGUAUCAUCUAUUUUUGGGGGUUAUAUUAUGGUUAAAAAAUUGGCCCGUCGCUGGUACACGGAAAAGCCACAAAUUUGUCCCGUCGCUGCUACCAGGUUAAUUAAGUAAGGUAUGUUUAGGUGUAUGAGUGGACGUGUUGUUCGGGCAAGUUAGAUCGUAAGGGGUGCGUGUGGGGGUGGUGGUAGGUUACGUUAGGUAGGUUAGGUAAGGUGAGGGCUACGUUGGUUAGGCAAGGUUUGUUUAGGUGUGUGGGUUGGCGUGUUGUUAUGGAAGGUUGAGGGGUAAUGAGUGAGUGUGGGCGUGGUGUUAGGGUAAGGUAGGUUGUAAUAGGUGAGUGUGGGCGUGGUGUUAGUGCAGGUUAAGUUAUGGUAGACGUUAGGUUAUGCAAUUUUUUUUCAGCAAAGGAGACGGCUCAAGGGCAACAACAACAACAAAAAAAAACAAAAAAAAAAAAAAAAAACCCGCUACUCACCGCUCCCAUAAUAGACAAAAGUAAAGAGUGGCCAAAAAGGAGGUCAUUUUUGGGUGGAGAGGUGUCUUGAUACACUCUUUUUGAAGGAUGUCAAGGUGUGUAGGUGGGUGUUUUGUUGGGGCAAGUUGAGUGGUAGGGGUGCGUUCGGGCGUGGUGUUAGGGCAGGUUAAGUUAGGCUAGUUAGGUUAGGUUAGAUAAGGGUUACGUUAGGUUAGGUAGUGUUUAUUUAGGUGUUUGAGUGGACGUGUUGUUAGGGCAAGGUUAGGUGGAAAUAGGGGCGUGUGGGCGUGGUGUUUGGACAGGUUAAGUUUCGUUAGUUAGGUAAGGUAAGGGUUACGUUAGGUAGUGUUUAUUCUGGUGUUUGAGUGGACAUGUUGUUAGGGCAAGGUAAGGUGGUAAUAGGGGCGUGUGGGCGUAGUGUUAGGGCAGGUAAGCUCACGUUAGAUGGGUCAGGUAAGGUAAGGGUUACGUUAGGUUAGGUAGUGUUUGUUUUGGUGUUUGAGUGGACAUGUUGUUAGGGCAAGGUAAGGUGGUAAUAGGGGCGUGUGGGCGUAGUGUUAGGGCAGGUAAGCUCACGUUAGAUGGGUCAGGUAAGGUAAGGGUUACGUUAGGUUAGGUAGUGUUUGUUUUGGUGUUUGAGUGGACGUGUUGUUAGGGCAAGGUAAGGUGGAAAUAAGGGCGUGUGGUCGUGGUGUUAAGGGCAGGUAAGCUCACGUUAGAUGGGUCACGUAAGGUAAGGGUUACGUUAGGUUAGGUAGUGUUUGUUUUGGUGUUUGAGUGGACGUGUUGUUAGGGCAAGGUAAGGUGGAAAUAAGGGCGUGUGGGCGUGGUGUUAGGACAGGUUAGCUCACUUUAGUUGGGUCAGGUAAGGUAAGGGUUACGUCAGGUUAAGUAAGGUUUGUUGAAGUGCGUGGAUGGGCGUAUUGUUAGGUUAAGUUUGUGGUAAGGGUGCGUGGUGAUAGGGCAGGUUAGGUUAGACGUUAGGUAAGGCUUACGAAGGGGCGUGAGUUGGUGGGUGUGUUAGUGCAAGGUCAAAAUUGGUGCCUGUGGGCGAGGGCAGGCUAGGUUCUGAAAGACGUUAGGUUAGGUAAGGUUAAGGUCAGGUUAGGUAAGGUAAGGUUUUAUGGGAGCGGUGAGUAGCGGUCCUUUUUUUUUUCUCUCUGCACUCUUUGUUGCCCUUGAGCCGUCUCUUUUGCUGUAAAAAAAAGGUUAGAUUAUGUCAGGUUACGUAAGGUUUGUUGAAGUGCGUGGAUGGGUGUGGUGUUAGGCAGGUUAGGUUAUGACAAGCGUUAGGUUAGGCAGGUUAGGUUAUGACAAGCGUUAGGUUAGGCAAGGUUAAGGUUAGAUUACAUCAGGUUAAGUAAGGUAUGUUGAGGGGCGUGGAUGUAUGUGGUGUUAAGGCAGGUAAGGUUAUGAUUGACGUUAGAAUAGGCAACAUUAAGGUUAGAUUACAUGAGGGGCGUGUCGUUAGGGCAAGGCAGGUGGUAAUGGGUGAGUGGGCGCGGUGUUAGGACAGGUUAGGUUAUUGUAGACGUUAGGUUGGGUAAGGUAAGGGUUAUGCUAUGUUAGGUAAGGUUUGUUUAGGUGCGUUAGUGGGCGUGUGUUAGGGCGAGGUAGGUGGUAAUGGGUGAGUGGGCGCGGUGUUAGGACAGGUUAGGUUGUUGUAGACGGGUAAGGGUUAUGCUAUGUUAGGUAAGGUUUGUUUAGGUGCGUUAGUGGGCGUGUGUUAUGGCGAGGUAGGUGGUAAUGAGAGAGUGGGCGCGGUGUUAGGACAGGUUAGGUUGUUGUAGAUAUUAGGUUGGGUGAGGUUAGGUAAGGGUUAUGCUAUGUUAGGUAAGGUUUGUUUAGGUGUGAUAGUGGGCGUGUGUUAGGGCAGGUAAGGUGGUUAUAGGGGCGUAUGUACUUGGUGCUGGGGCAGGUUAGCUCUCGUAAGUUAGGUUAGGUAAGGAAAAGGUUAAGAUUAGGAUAGAUAAGGUUUGUUUAGGUGUGUGAGUGCGUGUUAUUAGUGCAAGUUAAGUAGUAUAAGUAGUAUUGGGUGCGUAUGGACGUGGUGGUAAGGCAGAUUGUUAGGUUAGGUUAGGCAAGAUAUGUUAAAGCUUGCGUCAGGCUAUGCAAGAAGUGUUUAGCUGCGUGAGUGGGUGUAUUGUUAGGGCAAGCUAGGUCGAGAGGGGUGCAUGAGCGGGCUUGGGUGUUAGGGCAGGCUAUGGUUAGGUUAAGUAAGGUAAGUUAAGGUUAGAUUACGUUAGGUUAGGUAAGGUUUGUUUUGGUGUUUGAGUGGGCGUGUUUGUAAGUGCGUGUGGGCGUGGUGUUAGGGCAGAUUAGGUUAUGGUAGACAUUAGGUUUAGUUUGGGUUGGAUUACGUCAGGUUAUGUAAGGAUUGCCAAGGUGCGUGAGUGGGCGUGUAGUUUGGACAAGGUAGGUGGUAAUAAGUGCGUGUGGGCGUGGUGUUAGGGCAGAUUAGGUUAUGGUAGACCUUAGGUUAAGUUAGGGUUGGAUUACGUCAGGCUAUGUAAUGAUUGCCAAGGUGCGUGAGUGGGCGUGUAGUUGGGGCGAGGUAAGUGGUAGUAAGUGCGUGUGGGCGUGGUGUUAGGGCAGAUUAAGUUACGGUAGACCUUAGGUUAAGUUAGGGUUGGAUUACGUCAGGUUAUGUAAGGAUGCCAAGGUGCGUGAGUGGGCGCUUUGUCAAGGUGGGUUAGGGCAAAAUGUGUGACGUGUGGGCGUGGUGUUAGGGCAGGGUGGGAUAAGUUAAGGUUAGGUAUGGUUGUGUAGGUGUUAAUAAGCGGGCGUGGGCGUGUUAGGGCAGGUUAGGGUGUCUGACGGUGAGGCUGGGCGUCUAGGCAGGCGGGGCGGGGCGGGGCAGAGUGACUCACAGGCCCCAUCGAUUUAUCCAGACCCCUCUCUCUCUCUCUCUCUCUCUCUCUCUCUCUCUCUCUCUCUCUCUUUUUUCCCACCCCUCCUGGCCUCUCCCUCCUCUCUCGCUCUUUUCCUCUCCUUCUCUCUCGGCCAUUCACUCCUGCAGGGCCUGUCGCGUUGUGUGUGUGUGUGUGUGUGUGUGUGUGACGGAACUCGUAGCUGGUCGGGCAAAAAGGUGUGUGUGUGUGUGUGUGUGUGUGUGUGUGUGUUCAUCAUGCUAUGAAAUUAUUUAACUCGUGAAAUUUCACUGAAGUAAAUUUUAGUAAUAUGGUGAUAACUAGUGUGGGUGUAUUGCAGUAUCAAUUCCAGUAUCAGUACCAGUGGUGGUAGUAGAAAAGUGGUAGUUGUAUUAUGAGAAAUGUCAACUUUUCCCUUUGUCCUUUAAGCCCCCCUUCCCCCCCCAAAAAAAAAAAAAAUACGCGCAUGUUCUAGUCACGAUGGUUGUGGUGCUAGUCUCCUCGUCGUCGUUACCGCCACUUCCCAUCCCUUCUUCCUUUUCCAGCACCCACCCCCACCCACCGCUCCGGUUGCUCAGUGGUUAAAGCUCUGCGCUGUCAGGCGCCGGCUCGGUAGGCGGAGGGAGGUUCGAGCCUUGCUUAGUCAGGUCCUGAUUUUUCCACCGACAGGGGGGAAGUAACUGUCCCCGCUUCAGCAAGACACUAAUGAGCUUGCUCAAAUCGAGAGGGUACUUGACGGCGAUGACGAGUCCAGCUCGUGAUCAGGCAGUGGUAGCUCUCUCUCUCUCUCUCUCUCUCUCUCUCUCUCUCUCUCUCUCUCUCUCUCUAAAAUCCUUCCAACAAGUUUAUUAUUAUUUUUUAUUGCUAUUGUUAUACUUAUUAUUAUUAUUUUUAUUAUUAUUAUUAUUAUUAUUACGUCCAUACCUAGGUACUUUUCAUAAAUCCAUACAUCUAUCACCUGUCUGCAUACUGGAAAAAUAUCUAUAUCUUUUAAUCUGUUGUAACUUAUCUAUCUACAUCAUGCACAUACUACUUCCCCAUUUGAUUGUAUGUUCGUUUGUU